rnacentral:misc_RNA from 1 species
AAUCUCUCUCAGAACCUGAUUCCUCAAAAGGGGAUUCGGGAGGAUGCAUUGGCUCACCUUUGCUUCUCUGAAAUAGAUUGGUGUUUUGGCUGCGACUCACAAACCGGUCGUCGGUAUGAUACGUGUCUUACCUGCUUCCAACCGUGGCCAGCCCAGCCAGACAAGACGGAAUGUCAUAUGAA